GGCGGCUUGGCUCAGGGGGUAGAGCGAGCGGGCGGGCUAGGAAUCAGACGGUUCCUGGUUCGAUCCCCGGCUCCUCCA